rnacentral:rRNA from 1 species
UUCGCAAUGCCCGAAAGGGUGACGAAGCGACGCCGCGUGUGGGAAGAAGGCCUUCGGGUUGUAAACCUCUGUCGGGAGUUAAGAAAUGCAAGGAUAUGAAUAGUGUCUUUGCUUGACUAAGGCUCCGGAGGAAGCCACGGCUAACUCUGUGCCAGCAGCCGCGGUAAUACAGAGGCGGCAAGCGUUGUUCGGAAUUAUUGGGCGUAAAGAGCACGUAGGCGGCUAUGUAAGUCGGUUGUGAAAGCCUUCCGCUCAACGGGAGAACAGCAUCCGAUACUACAUGGCUUGAGUGCGGGAGGGGAGAGUGGAACUUCUGGUGGAGCGGUGAAAUGCGUAGAUAUCAGAAGGAACGCCGGCGGCGAAAGCGGCUCUCUGGCCCAUAACUGACGCUGAGUGUGCGAAAGCUAGGGGAGCAAACGGGAUUAGAUACCCCGGUAGUCCUAGCCGUAAACGAUGGGCACUAAGUAGAGGGGUUUU